UUUAGGUUUAGGCAAUAAAAAAAACAGGUUUAGGCAAAAAAAACUACAACUUCACUUCUUUAGAUUUAUGCAAGGAAAAUGCAACUUCUUUAGGUUUAUGCAACAAAACUACAACUUCUUUAGGUUUAGGCCACAGAACUACAACUUGUUAAUGUUUAGGCAAAAUAAAAUACAAUUUGUUUAGGUUUAGGCUUUAAAACUUUGACUUCUUAGCAAAACUACAAAUUCUUUAGGUUUAGGCAAACAAACAGGUUUAGGCAACAAAAGUACAACUUUGUUAAGUUUAGGCAAAAAAGUUUUGGUUUCACACAGGAUGUGAACUCCGGUCUCCUGGGUGAAAUUCUAUUCUAUACCUAGCUUUCUCGGUGAUCUACCAUGUGAAUAGAUUUGGGGGCAGUACCAUCCCCGUUGAGAAACACUACAAUAUUAGGCUAUGUGCUAGUUGUGCUUUGUUUAUUCAGGUGGUCAUUUCUGAUAUAGUCUCUCAGGAAUCAUGAAUCUGGUGAUUAGCAGAUAAAAUAAAUAAUAAAAUUGGGUGAAAUUGGUUGGAAAUUGAAACUUUUUCAGACUACUGAUUACAUAUGCUGUACCUGAUGAUCCAACAGUAUUUUAUAUUUUGUACCUGCUAUAUAUUGAAACAGUGUGCUACAGUUACUGUUGUUCAAGUAAAACCGCAAUAAAUAACAAAAAAUAAUGAAAGUUGUCAUUAGUCUCCUUUUACUUCAUUCCUUCUAGUCCAUACACUAGACUGUGAUUCCUGCAGUAUUAUACCAUAUUAUGGGAUACAGUGGUAAUGCAAUAACAUAUUUUCAAGAAACCCCCAAAACUAAACUGAGGUGACAAAAAUUUGGUGACAAAUAAAAAUUAAAUUUAUUGAAGAAUAAUUUCACCUCUGUCCACCAGAGAACGUGGCAGAGUGCAAUUAGAGGUGCUUGUCAAUGGAAAUUAAAUAUAUAUUACAGCUAUGUUAAUUCAACUUCAGGUGCACCAUUUGAGUCUGGGCUGGGAAUUACACAUUAAAUCAAUGUUUGUUUUGUAAUGAUGAAAUUGUGAAUUCUUUUUUUAUGCUCUAAAGUGUUUCGGUUCUUCACAUACUCUAUUUCAGAGUGUUUUUUGUGUCUCUUAUUAAGCUUUGAAACAAUUCAGUUAUGACUGUCAUUUUGUAUGCUUUCUUUAUUG